GCCGGAAUAGCUCAGUGGCAGAGCGCUCGCCUUGUAAGCGAGGGGUCGUGGGUUCAAAUCCCACUUCCGGCUCCA
rnacentral:tRNA from 1 species